rnacentral:rRNA from 1 species
AACCCAAGGUUUCCUGAUCAAUGUUAAUCAGAUCAGGGUUAGUCGGGUCCUUAGGCACACCCGAAAGGGGAAGCUGAUGGCAAGUCGUUUAAUAUUACGACACCUGCUUAUACUUCGAUGGAGUGACGGGGUAGUGAAAGGUCCGCGUUCUUACGGAAUAGAACGUUAAAGGGUGUAGAUAUUGGUUUUGCAGGCAAAUCCGCAAGACUAGUCGAACCUGAUAGUACAGCAAAGCUUCGGCAGCGCUGAUAGUGACCCUAAUCAAACCUCCGAGAAAAACUUCUAAGUUAUGGUAUAAGCAGCCCGUACCGCAAACCGACACAGGUGGGUGGGAUGAAUAUUCUAAGGCGCUCGGGUGAGCCGUGGAGAAGGAACUAGGCAAAUUAACGCUGUAACUUCGGGAUAAAGCGUACCGAUUUCGGUCGGUCUCAGUAAAAUGGUACAACCAACUGUUUAGCAAAAACACAGGGCCCUGCAAAAUCGAAAGAUGACGUAUAGAGCCUGAUACCUGCCCGGUGCUGGAAGGUUAAGGAAGGAUGUUCGACGCAAGUCAAAGCUUCUGACUGAAGCCCCAGUAAACGGCGGCCGUAACUAUAACGGUCCUAAGGUAGCGAAAUUCCUUGUCGGGUAAGUUCCGACCUGCACGAAUGGUCUAAUGAGUUGUACACUGUCUCCUCCACGAGCCCGGUGAAAUUGUAGUAUCGGUGAAGAUGCCGGUUACCCGUCACGGGACGGAAAGACCCCAUGAACCUUCACUACAACUUUGCAUUGAUUUUGAAUUUUUGAUGUGUAGGAUAGUUGGGAGACUUCGAUCCUGCGUCGCUAGGCGUAGGUUAGUCAACGUUGAAAUACCAACCUUUAAACAUUUAGAAUCUAAUCCCUCACGGGAAACAGUGCAUGGUGGGUAGUUUGACUGGGGUGGUCGCCUCCUAAAAUGUAACGGAGGCUUGCAAAGGUUCCCUCAGUACGGUUGGUAAUCGUACAUAGAGCGCAUUAGUAUAAGGGAGCUUGACUGUGAGGCCUACAAGCCGAUCAGGUACGAAAGUAGGCUAAAGUGAUCCGGUGGUUCUGUAUGGAAGGGCCAUCGCUCAAAGGAUAAAAGGUACUCUGGGGAUAACAGGCUGAUCUUACCCAAGAGCUCAUAUCGACGGUAAGGUUUGGCACCUCGAUGUCGGUUCGUCACAUCCUGGGGCUGGAGAAGGUCCCAAGGGUUCGGCUGUUCGCCGAUUAA